GUAAAAAUCUUAACCAAUGGGAGAAGCCAGUUUAGAAGGGUGAGGAUAACUAAACUGUUAAUCUCCACCGUUUGAUAAACUUCAAUCUAACGGAUACAAUUAUUAUUUAUUCUUUAUUCUUUUUGUUUUCCAAGUCACGACGUUUGCUUUUCUUCUGGUAGAUCUCAAUUUUAAUUAUCAUCUCUGUAAUCUCUUCUCACAUUCCUCUGCAAUCUCAUCUCAUAAAUCUCUCUUAACGUUCUCUGCAAUCCUUUUCCUUCUGGUGAAGCUCCUCACAUCCUCCUUUUGAAAUCGUCACUCGUGACCACAACACCACCACCGACACCACCACCAUCUCCAUCCGACACCACCACCACUCGUCACCAACAUCGCCAUAACAGAGGAGGUAUGGCGUUGUGGUGUUAGAUAGUCAUGUCACUUAGGUGAACGGGAUGAGCUUGCCGUGAUGAAUGCGGCAGAGACAACGACUCGUUAGAUCUGAAGAAGCUGUGGUGUGAAGAUGGCAGAAGUUAGGGGUCGUGGUGUGGAGAUGGAGCCAAGCACGAAGAAGAUAGAGGUGGUGUGAAGAUGGGAGAUGGAAGAAGAAGAACAGAGAGGUGGGGGAGGAGCCGAGAAAGAAGAAGAACAAAGAGGUGGUGGUUGCGGCUCUAUUAGGUUUAGACAUUGUAGGUUUAAUUUUUUUUUUUGGUUUAGCUUGGUUUAGUUUUUUUGGUUUAGCUUGGUUUAGUUUUUUUGGGUUUAGCUUGGUUUAGUUUGUAUACCGGUUAACUAAUUUUGAUUUAUAAAGUUUUUUAAAUA